rnacentral:rRNA from 1 species
UACGAAGGGGGCUAGCGUUGUUCGGAAUUACUGGGCGUAAAGCGCACGUAGGCGGAUUGUUAAGUCAGAGGUGAAAUCCCGGAGCUCAACUUCGGAACUGCCUUUGAUACUGGCAAGCUAGAGUCCGGAAGAGGUUAGUGGAAUUCCCAGUGUAGAGGUGAAAUUCGUAGAUAUUGGGAAGAACACCAGUGGCGAAGGCGGCUAACUGGUCCGGUACUGACGCUGAGGUGCGAAAGCGUGGGGAGCAAACAGG